rnacentral:rRNA from 1 species
AUUGAACGCUGGCGGCAGGCCUAACACAUGCAGGUCGAACGAGCCGCGGACGGGUGAGUAAUGUAUGGGGCCUGCCCGAUAGAGGGGGCUAACCACUGGAACCGGUAGUUAUUACUGCCUAUCAUCGGAUCACCCAUAGGGGAUUAGCUAGUGGGUGAGGGAAUGGCUAACCUAGGCAACGAUCCCUAGCUGGUCUGAGAGGAUGAUCAGCCACACUGGGACUGAGACACGGCCCAGACUCCUACGGAGGCAGCAGUGGGGAAUAUUGCACAAGGGGCGCAAGCCUGAUGUAGCCAUGCCGCGUGUAUGAAGAAGGCCUUAGGGGUGUAAAGUACUUUCAGUCGGGAGGCGUUACCGACAGAAGAAGCACCGGCUAACUCCGUGCCAGCAGCCGCGGUAAUAC